UACAGAGGUCCCAAGCGUUGUUCGGAUUCACUGGGCGUAAAGGGUGCGUAGGUGGUGAGGUAAGUCGGAUGUGAAAUCUCCGGGCUCAACCCGGAAAUGGCAUUGGAAACUACCUUGCUCGAGGGUUUGAGGGGGGACUGGAAUACUUGGUGUAGCAGUGAAAUGCGUAGAUAUCAAGUAGAACACCAGUGGCGAAGGCGAGUCCCUGGAAAACUCCUGACACUGAGGCACGAAAGCUAGGGGAGCAAACAGG
rnacentral:rRNA from 1 species